GAUGAACGCUGGCGGCGUGCCUAAUACAUGCAAGUCGAGCGAACAGACGAGGAGCUUGCUCCUCUGACGUUAGCGGCGGACGGGUGAGUAACACGUGGAUAACCUACCUAUAAGACUGGGAUAACUUCGGGAAACCGGAGCUAAUACAGGAUAAUAUAUUGAACCGCAUGGUUCAAUAGUGAAAGACGGUUUUGCUGUCACUUAUAGAUGGAACCGCGCCGCAUUAGCUAGUUGGUAAGGUAACGGCUUACCAAGGCGACGAUGCGUAGCCGACCUGAGAGGAUGAUCGGCCACACUGGAACUGAGACACGGUCCAGACUCCUACGGGAGGCAGCAGUAGGGAAUCUUCCGCAAUGGGCGAAAGCCUGACGGAGCAACGCCGCGUGAGUGAUGAAGGUCUUCGGAUCGUAAAACUCUGUUAUUAGGGAAGAACAAAUGUGUAAGUAACUAUGCACGUCUUGACGGUACCUAAUCAGAAAGCCACGGCUAACUACGUG
rnacentral:rRNA from 1 species